rnacentral:tRNA from 2 species
CAGAAUGUAGUAGUUGGUUAGUGUAUUGACCUGCUUCGGGAGCAGGAGGUCGCUGGUUCAAAUCCAGUCGCCCCGA